CGAUCAGCUGCCUCUUGCACACUUCCUAUUGGGGAUGUUCCUGCAACCAAGGUACAUGCCCUUGACUGGAAUCGAACCUGGGACCUUUCAGUCCUCAGGCCGACGCUCUAUCCACUGACUCAAUCCGGUUUUGGCUGCAGAAGCCUUUUAAAUG